rnacentral:rRNA from 1 species
GAUGAACGCUGGCGGCGUGCCUAAUACAUGCAAGUCGAGCGAACAGAUAAGGAGCUUGCUCCUUUGACGUUAGCGGCGGACGGGUGAGUAACACGUGGAUAACCUACCUAUAAGACUGGGAUAACUUCGGGAAACCGGAGCUAAUACCGGAUAACAUAUUGAACCGCAUGGUUCAAUAGUGAAAGGCGGCUUUGCUGUCACUUAUAGAUGGAUCCGCGCCGUAUUAGCUAGUUGGUAAGGUAACGGCUUACCAAGGCAACGAUACGUAGCCGACCUGAGAGGGUGAUCGGCCACACUGGAACUGAGACACGGUCCAGAUUCCUACGGGAGGCAGCAGUAGGGAAUCUUCCGCAAUGGGCGAAAGCCUGACGGAGCAACGCCGCGUGAGUGAUGAAGGUCUUCGGAUCGUAAAACUCUGUUAUCAGGGAAGAACAAAUGUGUAAGUAACUGUGCACAUCUUGACGGUACCUGAUCAGAAAGCCACGGCUAACUACGUG